rnacentral:rRNA from 1 species
AAGGAUUCUUUUUGCAGCGCUUAUUGCGCGGCGAAAACCUUACACACUAUGUUUUUUUAAUUUGAAACUAUUGCUUUGGUCUGGCUUAGAAAUAGGUUGGGCCAAAGGUUUUAUCAAAACUUCAAUAUUUAUUAUUGAAUUGUUAUUUUUAAUUUUAUGUCAAUUUGUUGAUUAAUAUCAAAAAUCUUCAAAACUUUCAACAACGGAUCUCUUGGUUCUCGCAUCGAUGAAGAACGCAGCGAAAUGCGAUAAGUAAUAUGAAUUGCAGAUUUUCGUGAAUCAUCGAAUCUUUGAACGCACAUUGCGCCCUUUGGUAUUCCAAAGGGCAUGCCUGUUUGAGCGUCAUUUCUCUCUCAAAUCUUCGGAUUUGGUUUUGAGUGAUACUCUUAGUCAGACUAAGCGUUUGCUUGAAAUGUAUUGGCAUGAGUGGUACUAGAUAGUGCUGAACUGUUUUCAAUGUAUUAGGUUUAUCCAACUCAUUGACCAGUAAAGUAUUUGUUUAUUACACAGGCUCGGCCUUACAACAACAAACAAAGUUUGACCUCAAAUCAGGUAGGACUACCCGCUGAACUUAAGCAUAUCAUAAACCGGGGAAGAAAGGAA